CCGCGACCCCAGGUCAGGCGGGACUACCCGCUGAGUUUAAGCAUAUC
rnacentral:rRNA from 20 species